rnacentral:rRNA from 1 species
UAAUACGUAGGGGGCAAGCGUUGUCCGGAUUUAUUGGGCGUAAAGAGCGUGUAGGCGGCCAUGCAGGUCAGCUGUGAAAACUCGAUGGCUCAACCUCGAGAUGUCGGUUGAAACCGUAUGGCUAGAGUCCGGAAGAGGAGAGUGGAAUUCCCGGUGUAGCGGUGAAAUGCGCAGAUAUCGGGAAGAACACCCGUGGCGAAGGCGGCUCUCUGGGACGGUACUGACGCUGAGACGCGAAAGCGUGGGGAGCGAACAGG